rnacentral:rRNA from 1 species
UACGAAGGGUGCAAGCGUUACUCGGAAUUACUGGGCGUAAAGCGUGCGCAGGCGGUUUGUUAAGUCCGUUGUGAAAGCCCCGAGCUCAACUUGGGAAUUGCAGUGGAUACUGGCAGGCUGGAGUACGGUAGAGGAAGGUGGAAUUCCCGGUGUAGCAGUGAAAUGCGUAGAUAUCGGGAGGAACACCAGUGGCGAAGGCGGCCUUCUGGACCAGUACUGACGCUCAUACACGAAAGCGUGGGGAGCAAACAGG